rnacentral:rRNA from 1 species
UACGGGGGGAGCAAGCGUUGUUCGGAUUUACUGGGCGUAAAGGGCGCGUAGGCGGCCACCGCAAGUCGGCUGUGAAAUCUCCGGGCUUAACCCGGAAAGGUCAGCCGAUACUGCGGGGCUAGAGUGCAGAAGGGGCAACUGGAAUUCUCGGUGUAGCAGUGAAAUGCGUAGAUAUCGAGAGGAACACCUGCGGCGAAGGCGGGUUGCUGGGCUGACACUGACGCUGAGGCGCGAAAGCUAGGGGAGCGAACGGG